GACAGAGGUGCCAAGCGUUAGGCGGAAUCACUGGGCUUAAAGCGUGUGUAGGCGGGUGCCUAAGUACCUUGUGAAAUCCCACGGCUCAACCGUGGAACUGCUGGGUAUACUGGGUGCCUUGGGUCAUCUAGGGGCUGCCGGAACAAAUGGUGGAGCGGUGAAAUGCGUAGAUAUUAUUUGGAACGCCAACGGCGAAAGCAGGCAGCUGGGGAUGCACCGACGCUGAGACACGAAAGCCAGGGGAGCGAACGGG
rnacentral:rRNA from 1 species